rnacentral:rRNA from 1 species
AUUGAACGCUGGCGGCAUGCCUUACACAUGCAAGUCGAACGGCAGCAUGAUCUAGCUUGCUAGAUUGAUGGCGAGUGGCGAACGGGUGAGUAAUACAUCGGAACGUGCCCUGUAGUGGGGGAUAACUAGUCGAAAGAUUAGCUAAUACCGCAUACGACCUGAGGGUGAAAGUGGGGGACCGCAAGGCCUCAUGCUAUAGGAGCGGCCGAUGUCUGAUUAGCUAGUUGGUGAGGUAAAGGCUCACCAAGGCGACGAUCAGUAGCUGGUCUGAGAGGGCGAUCAGCCACACUGGGACUGAGACACGGCCCAGACUCCUACGGGAGGCAGCAGUGGGGAAUUUUGGACAAUGGGCGAAAGCCUGAUCCAGCAAUGCCGCGUGUGUGAAGAAGGCCUUCGGGUUGUAAAGCACUUUUGUCCGGAAAGAAAUGGCUCUGGUUAAUACCUGGGGUCGAUGACGGUACCGGAAGAAUAAGGACCGGCUAACUACGUG